AGAUGGGCAGAGCAUGGGGUGGUACCCAGCAGGUUCAUAAGAGAUGCUCCCUUAGUGGGAGUCCUCCUCCAGGGCCUGAGGUAUCUGCAGCCUCCUCCCUGUUCCCCCGCCUCUCAAGAGACCCUCCUGCCCUCCUCUCUGGCUAGCUAUGGAUGGUGUAGUGUUGUUCAAUCCUACUCCAACCUGCCCACUUCUCCUCAGCAAGCAUGGCUUCCUCACCUGUGAGGUGGGUGGUACCAGUGAGAGUGUUGUGACAUGGGUCUAUGGAACAUACAGCUCCGACUCUGUCACCUGGCUGGGCCUGGAACCCUUCAUAGGUUCCCUCUGCCACAGGACCCACUGUCUAGAAGUUUCAUGACUAGCAGCUUGAAACACCUCUGUGCUUCUGGAACCAAGCCUCCCCAGCAGGGGCCUCCAGCUGAGCCACCUUGGGCUGCCACUGGGAAGCUUGGGUAUCUCUCUGGAACCCUCUGGAAGGAUCCAGUUUCUCCCUACAGCUUGGUCCACAGCUAUUCCUCUCUUCCAUGUCCUGUGUGACGACAUCCGCCUGGAACCUACCGUCAGGGCCUGCAGGCAACCCAGGCCAGUUCCUCCCCUCCUCUCGCCUCAAGGCCACAAGGAACCCUGGAGAGCCCUUUCAUGGAUCCUGUCUCACUCAUUCCUUCUCUUGGCUCUCUCUGAACACUGCCCCAUCCGGGCCUUCACUCUCUUCCCCGGCCAACAGACCACACCAACCUUCUGCUCUGACAGCCCAGGGGACCGACCACACGCUUCUUUCCUUUAGCCUGUCCACCAGCCUCUCUCUUCCUCCUACUCCGACCCACUGAGGUGACCACGCUGCCCUCCACCCUCUGACAUGCUCAGCUGUGUGACCUGUGGUCGUGCCAGGGCCAGCCUCUCUAGCUCUGGCCUGGGCUCAGCCUUUCCAACAGCCAUCUUUAGCCAGAACCCAAGCCUGCUCCAGACAACUCUGGUGAAGAAAUAUACUAGAAAGAGCUGUGGAGGAGCUCAUAGAAGCUGGGAGGACGUCUGCUGGGCCCGGCUCCCUGAGGACAUCAGGAGACCACAGUAAUUCUGAGACUAAUUGUCCUCAUGCUCGCCCUCAUCAGCUUUGAGAAGGAUAACAGAUUGCCAUAGCUUGGGGAUGCCGUGCUCAGGAGCUGCCAGUCACUUGCCAGACCCACAGCAUCCACUUCCCUCUGCCCUUCUCCCUGAAUGGCCAGCUCUAUGCACCUGAGGCCCCAGGAAGCUCCCGCCAUCAGUGUGGGCUCUGGUGGGCCCAGGAUGAACCGAGGAAAUGGGGAGACAAGAGGCCCUGCCAGUGGCUGCCAGGAGACUCCACUCAGAAGACCGGCGGAAUGAAGCCUCUGUCAGCUCUGAGUGUCUGAGUGACAUCAGUAGUGCCACUGAGCCAACUCUUCUCCCUGGGCCUCAGUUUCCCUGCCUGUGAGUUGGGCUUCCAAAGCUGUGACAUUCUGACCUGCUUAGAGUAUGGGAAGGGAAGUGCUAUGGCCAUGGCUGGACUCAUUUCUCUUUUCUAAA